rnacentral:rRNA from 1 species
GACGAACGCUGGCGGCGUGCCUAACACAUGCAAGUCGAACGAGGUCCAUGCAGUGGCAACACUGCGGAAGACCUAGUGGCGAACGGGUGAGUAACACGUGAGGAACCUGCCCCGAAGACCGGGAUACCCCUCCGAAAGGAGAGCUAAUACCGGAUACCCCCACCGGAUCGCAUGAUCUGGUGAGGAAAUGGAUUCCGCUUCGGGAGGGCCUCGCGGCCUAUCAGCUAGUUGGUGGGGUAACGGCCCACCAAGGCAUCGACGGGUAGCUGGUCUGAGAGGACGAUCAGCCACACUGGGACUGAGACACGGCCCAGACCCCUACGGGAGGCAGCAGUGGGGAAUCUUGCGCAAUGGGCGAAAGCCUGACGCAGCAACGCCGCGUGGGGGAUGAAGGCUCUCGGGUUGUAAACCCCUUUCAGCAGGGACGAAUCAAGACGGUACCUGCAGAAGAAGCCCCGGCUAACUACGUGCCAGCCGCCGCAGUAAUAC